rnacentral:lncRNA from 1 species
AUAUCUUGUACUACAACAAAACAUAAAAAAUAACUCGGAUUAGAUAACAUAUCAUAAUUUAAUAACCCAAAAGUGGGUCAUAAUGAUGUCAUUUUUAGGCACUAUAAAAUUCCCCCACACUUAUCAUGUGCUUGCCCUCAAGCACUACACAAUACACUCUGUCAAUUCCUAUCUCUUCACCUUCAACUCACUUACUCCCAAUCAUUUCAUCACAACCCACAUGUUACACCUCAACCCUCAAGUCACAAGAACAACCAUCAACUAGUACUUUAUAGGCUUGAGUUUCAUGGAAGCAUACCAAUGAAUAACCACUUUGAAAACAUCUAAACACGACAUAAGAGAGUUUUUUAAAUUUAGCAGACAAAAAUUUCAUUGAGUGGAAUAGCUAAUACCUAGUAGAAUAGCCACCAAACCUAUCCAGAUAAAAGGAUUCAUGCAGUUGGUUCAUGCCAAAAACAAAAAAGCUUGAGCACUUUACUUGCUUGAAAUGUCACUAACCUUUUGACGCAAGGGUAAACAUUUGUGAUGAAUGCACUUGGUUACUUAGUUGGUCACCAGUUUUAGAUAGCUACUAAUGCUACUCGUAGCCAUUUGACUAGAGGAGUAGAUUAUUUUUUGUGUUCCUUUUUUUUCAUU